rnacentral:rRNA from 1 species
UACGAGGGGGCGAGCGUUGUUCGGAAUUAUUGGGCGUAAAGGGUGCGUAGGCGGUUUGGUAAGUCUGAUGUGAAAUCUAUGGGCUCAACUCAUAGUCUGCAUCGGAAACUGCCGGCUUGAGUAUGGGAGAGGUGAGUGGAAUUCCUGGUGUAGCGGUGAAAUGCGUAGAUAUCGGGAGGAACACCUGUGGCGAAAGCGGCUCACUGGACCACAACUGACGCUGAGGCGCGAAAGC